CAUCACGAAUUUUGCUCAACCAUGAUGGCCCUGUAACGGUUGUCAUAUCAAUCAUUUUCAACAUCGAACCAGUAAUUACACAAUCAGAAUGGAGAAGCCGAUUCAAAGUUCAAUAGUUUUUUGUGUUCAUGUUGAUAACAUCAGAAGCCAUAUUUCUCAAUAAGCAAUUAAUCAAUAGCAAUUAACAUGAAAAUGUCUACAGGGUCAUAUUAGAGAUGAUAUUAAUUAUUGCACAUUAUCAUUAUGUAAUUUUUAAAAAAUCUGAAAAAUUACUAGGGCAGUUUUUUGUUUAAAACUAUUAUUUGCCUUUGUUCGGGGGCAGACACAUUAAGUUACAAAUAUUUAUCAUUUAAAACAAAGAUAACUUGAAGAUACGAUGUUGUUUUGCAAUUUUUCCAGAUUAUUUUAGAGAAUAUUCGGAUCAUAAAAAUAAGGAAGCACAGAGAUACACGGAAACGCCUGCAAAUAAAAUACACUAAUGCCUAAAAUCACAAACAGCUUACAACGCGGAAACUAUUAACCAGUUUCCCAAAUAUAUAAAGACAAGUAGAAAUCUCCUGUUCAUUGGUCCGCUAACGACGUCGUCAUGAAAUUUUUCAUCGUUUUCUUUCUGAUAUUCUGUGCUUUUGCCAUGGGAGAACAAUCUCCGUAUAAUUGUAUGAGAUGCGAGGACGAUAAACUUUGCAUCGCAAGAUUGAAAUGUUCUUGGGGAUGGCCGGCCUGUCAAUACGCUUAUGCCAGAUCUUGUUGCACCUGUUCCCUCGACCCCAAAUACAAAAAAAAUGGUUAAUCUUGUCAUGAUUAAAAGAAGGUAUUGGCAGUGUAACAGUCUAUGAAAUAAAUGAUCGAAUUCAAUUAAUUAAGUUUGUCGGAUUUCGCCUAUUGAGAAUGUUUACGGAAUCAAUCACCAUUUUGGUAAAUAAAAGUGAGUUCUAUAUUUA